rnacentral:rRNA from 1 species
AGAGUUUGAUCCUGGCUCAGAACGAACGCUGGCGGCGCGUCUUAAGCAUGCAAGUCGAAUGGCAAGAGAGAGCUUGCUCUCUCCUAGAAUGGCGGACUGGUGAGUAACGCGUGGGUGACGUACCCUUUAGCUGGGGAUAGCCUUAAGAAAUUAAGGAUAAUACCGAAUAAGCUCUUGUUUGUUAGAGGGACAAGAGGAAAGGAUCUUUUGAUUCACUGAAGGAACGGCCCGCGUACUAUUAGCUAGUUGGUGAGGUAACGGCCCACCAAGGCGAUGAUAGUUACCCGGCCUAAGAGGGUGAUCGGGCACAUUGGGACUGAGAUACGGCCCAGACUCCUACGGGAGGCAGCAGCUAAGAAUAUUCCGCAAUGGACGAAAGUCUGACGGAGCGACGCCGCGUGGAUGAUGAAGGCCGGAAGGUUGUAAAAUCCUUUUAUAACUGAGGAAUAAGUACUAUCAGAGAAAGGUAGUAUGGUGACUGUAGGUUAUGAAUAAGCAACGGCUAAUUACGUGCCAGCAGCCGCGGUAACACGUAAGUUGCGAGCGUUGUUCGGAAUUAUUGGGCGUAAAGGGCAUGUAGGCGGUUUUGCAAGCUUGGUGUGAAAUCCCGGAGCUUAACUCCGGAAUUGCGUUGAGAACUGCAUGACUAGAGUCACUGAGGGGCAAUCAGAAUUCCAGGUGUAGGGGUGAAAUCUGUAGAUAUCUGGAAGAAUACCAAUGGCGAAGGCAGGUUACCAGCAGAUGACUGACGCUGAGGUGCGAAGGUGCGGGGAGCAAACAGGAUUAGAUACCCUGGUAGUCCGCACAGUCAACUAUGUACACUGGAUGUCUGAACAUAAGUUUGGGGUGUCGAAGGCAAACGCGAAAAAUUGUACCGCCUGGGGGAGUAGCCCCGCAAGGGGUGAAACUCAAAGGAAUUGACGGGGGCCCGCACAAGCGGUGGAGCAUGUGGUUUAAUUCGAUGGUACGCGAGGAACCUUACCUGGGUUUGACAUACACAGGAAUUGUAUAGAGAUAUGCAAGCGUAGCAAUACGUCUGUGAACAGGUGCUGCAUGGCUGUCGUCAGCUCGUGCCGUGAGGUGUUGGGUUAAGUCCCGCAACGAGCGCAACCCUUGCUGCCAGUUACCAGCGCGUCGUGGCGGGGACUCUGGCAGGACUGCCACCGUAAGGUGUGAGGAAGGCGGGGAUGACGUCAAAUCAGCACGGCCCUUACGUCCGGGGCGACACACGUGUUACAAUGACAGCUACAGAGGGAAGCCACCCGGCGACGAGGCGCAGAUCUCGAAAAGCUGCCUCAGUUCGGACUGGAGUCUGCAACCCGACUCCACGAAGCUGGAUUCGCUAGUAAUCGCGCAUCAGCCAUGGCGCGGUGAAUACGUUCCCGGGCCUUGUACACACCGCCCGUCA